UGGGGAAUUUGGACAAUGGGGGAAACCCUGAUCCAGCCAUCCCGCGUGUGCGAUGAAGGCCUUCGGGUUGUAAAGCACUUUUGGCAGGAAAGAAACGUCGCGGGUUAAUACCCCGCGAAACUGACGGUACCUGCAGAAUAAGCACCGGCUAACUACGUGCCAGCAGCCGCGGUAAUACGUAGGGUGCAAGCGUUAAUCGGAAUUACUGGGCGUAAAGCGUGCGCAGGCGGUUCGGAAAGAAAGAUGUGAAAUCCCAGAGCUUAACUUUGGAACUGCAUUUUUAACUACCGGGCUAGAGUGUGUCAGAGGGAGGUGGAAUUCCGCGUGUAGCAGUGAAAUGCGUAGAUAUGCGGAGGAACACCGAUGGCGAAGGCAGCCUCCUGGGAUAACACUGACGCUCAUGCACGAAAGCGUGGGGAGCAAACAGGAUUAGAUACCCUGGUAGUCCACGCCCUAAACGAUGUCAACUAGCUGUUGGGGCCUUCGGGCCUUGGUAGCGCAGCUAACGCGUGAAGUUGACCGCCUGGGGAGUACGGUCGCAAGAUUAAAACUUAAAUGAAUUGACGGGGGUCAUAGCUGUUUCC
rnacentral:rRNA from 1 species